rnacentral:tRNA from 1 species
GGAGAGGUGCCUGAGUGGUUGAAAGGGAUAGUCUUGAAAACUAUUAAGGGGUAAUUCCCUUCGUGGGUUCGAAUCCCACCCUCUCCGCCA